rnacentral:rRNA from 1 species
GAAUUCGCCCUUCCGAAUUCGUCGACUUCCGGUUGAUCCUGCCGGCGGCCACCGCUAUUGGAAUUCGAUUAAGACAUGCGAGUCUCAAGGAUUUCGGUCCUUGGCAUACGGCUCAGUAACACGUGGACAAUCUGCCCUAAGGAGGGGGAUAAUUUCGGGAAACUGAAGAUAAUACCCCAUAGAUCAUGGAUGCUGGAAUGCUUCAUGAUUCAAAGCUCCGGCGCCUUAGGAUGAGUCUGCGGCCUAUCAGGUUGUAGUGGGUGUAGUGGACCCACUAGCCACUGACGGGUACGGGCGUUGGGAGACGUCGCCCGGAGAUGGAUUCUGAGACACGAAUCCAGGCCCUACGGGGCGCAGCAGUUACGAAAACUUGACAAUGCGGGAAACCGCGAUCAGGGAAUUCCAAGUGCAUGCACAAUGUGUAUGCUGUUCCAUUGUCUUAAAAACAUAGGAAGUAAGGGCUGGGUAAGACAGGUGCCAGCCGCCGCGGUAAUACCUGCAGCCCGAGUGGUGGUCGAUAUUAUUGAGCCUAAAGCGUCCGUAGCCGGACUAGUAAAUUCUUGGGUAAAUCGGGCAGCUUAACUGUCCGACUUCCGAGGAGACUGCUAGUCUUGGGACUGGGAGAGGUCAGAGGUACUCCAGGGGUAGGGGCUAAAUCCUGUAAUCCUUGGGGGACCACCAGUGGCGAAGGCGUCUGACUAGAACGGAUCCGACGGUAAGGGACGAAACCCUGGGGCGCAAACCGGAUUAGAUACCCGGGUAGUCCAGGGCGUAAACGCUGCAGGCUUGGUGUUGAGGAUCCUACGAGGAUGCUCAGUGCCGGAGUGAAGAUGUUAAGCCUGCCGCUUGGGGAGUACGUCCGCAAGGAUGAAACUUAAAGGAAUUGGCGGGAGAGCACAGCAACGGGAGGAGCGUGCGGUU